CUUGUUCACCUACCUGCCGGACUGUUCAACGCCACAACCAAAUUACAAAAGCUAAAUUUUAGGUAUAAUCAACUGGAUGACCUACCUGACGGGCUGUUCAAAGCCACAACCGAAUUACAAACCCUAGAUUUGAGAGGUAAUCAACUUGUUCACCUACCUGCCGGACUGUUCAACGCCACAACCAAAUUACAAAAGCUG